rnacentral:rRNA from 1 species
CGCCAACACUGGGACUGAGAACUGCCCAGACUCCUACGGGAGGCUGCAGUCGAGAAUCAUUCGCAAUGGGCGAAAGCCUGACGAUGCGACGCUGUGUGAGUGAUGAAGGCCUUCGGGUUGUAAAGCUCUUUCGCUUGGGAACAAGAGAGGUUAGUUAAUACCUAGCUAAUUUGAGGGUACCAGGUAAAG